AGGGCACCACCAGGAGUGGAGCCUGCGGCUUAAUUUGACUCAACACGGGGAAACUUACCCGGCCUGGACACUGGAAGGAUUGACAGAUUGAGAGCUCUUUCUUGACUCAGUGGGUGGUGGUGCAUGGCCGUUCUUAGUUGGUGGAGCGAUUUGUCUGGUUAAUUCCGAUAACGAACGAGACUCUAGCCUAUUAAAUAGGCUCCCGGCUUUUAAACGCCGGGAGGACUUCUUAGAGGGACAGGUGGCGGUUCAGCCGCACGAAAGAGAGCAAUAACAGGUCUGUGAUGCCCUUUGUUGUCCGGGGCCGCACGCGCGCUACACUGAAGGGAUCAGCGUGCUUUAUGCUCCUGCUCCGACCGGAGUGGGGAACCCAGUGAACCUUCUUCGUGAUUGGGAUAGAAGGUUGUAAUUAUUCUUCUUGAACGAGGAAUUCCCAGUAAAUGCGAGUCAUAAGCUCGCGUUGAUUACGUCCCUGCCCUUUGUACACACCGCCCGUCGCUACUACCGAUUGAACGAUUU
rnacentral:rRNA from 1 species